UGGGGAAUAUUGCGCAAUGGGGGGAACCCUGACGCAGCCAUGCCGCGUGAAUGAAGAAGGCCUUAGGGUUGUAAAGUUCUUUCGGUAUUGAGGAAGGUUGAUGUGUUAAUAGCACAUCAAAUUGACGUUAAAUACAGAAGAAGCACCGGCUAACUCCGUGCCAGCAGCCGCGGUAAUACGGAGGGUGCGAGCGUUAAUCGGAAUAACUGGGCGUAAAGGGCACGCAGGCGGUUAUUUAAGUGAGGUGUGAAAGCCCCGGGCUUAACCUGGGAAUUGCAUUUCAGACUGGGUAACUAGAGUACUUUAGGGAGGGGUAGAAUUCCACGUGUGGCGGUGAAAUGCGUAGAGAUGUGGAGGAAUACCGAAGGCGAAGGCAGCCCCUUGGGAAUGUACUGACGCUCAUGUGCGAAAGCGUGGGGAGCAAACAGGAUUAGAUACCCUGGUAGUCCACGCUGUAAACGCUGUCGAUUUGGGGGUUGGGGUUUAACUCUGGCGCCCGUAGCUAACGUGAUAAAUCGACCGCCUGGGGAGUACGGCCGCAAGGUUA
rnacentral:rRNA from 1 species